CCGUUAUAACCGGCGAUGUCCGAAUGGGGAAACCCAGUGUGAUUCGUCACACUAUCGUUAACUGAAUACAUAGGUUAACGAGGCGAACCGGGGGAACUGAAACAUCUAAGUACCCCGAGGAAAAGAAAUCAACCGAGAUUCCCCCAGUAGCGGCGAGCGAACGGGGAGCAGCCCAGAGUCUGAAUCAGCUUGUGUGUUAGUGGAACGGUCUGGAAAGUCCGACGGUACAGGGUGAUAGUCCCGUACACCAAAAUGCACAGGUUGUGAACUCGAAGAGUAGGGCGGGACACGUGGUAUCCUGUCUGAAUAUGGG
rnacentral:rRNA from 1 species